rnacentral:lncRNA from 1 species
AAUGACAAUUCUGCCGCAAGACCAUUUUCCAUGCAGAAAUCCUACAUCAGACCCCAAAUUUGGGCCCCCGGGAUGCAAAUGGGUCUUGAGUGAGUCGGGGAUGCUGAAAAAGUGCUUGGAGGUAAGCUAUUUGGGUGUGGAGGGUCUUUUUCGACGGGGAAAUACCUCGUCGGAAAAGAUUAUUUUCUUGCGUAAUUAUUAGUGAAUUAUCUCCCCUGAUUUUCGGGAAAAAAAUUGCGUUCUUUGCAGAUAUUUUCGCACCAGAGACCAAGGAAAGGAGAAAGAACCUACCAGAAUCCCUAAAAUAUGCUUCUGAUGAG